rfam:Habropoda laboriosa contig21087, whole genome shotgun sequence.
GUCGGUUACGGUGACAUGGUGCCGAAAACCUACGUCGGGAUGUUCGUCGGCGCGCUAUGCGCCCUUGCCGGUGUCCUCACGAUCGCCCUGCCGGUGCCCGUGAUCGUCAGCAAC